CCAACGAACUUCAUGUCUGGGUUUUUCAUGAUAGUGAAGUUGGAAGCCAGCAGUGCAGCUGCCACCUACUUCUGUCCAGCCAGACCCUUGCCCUUGCUGGUCAUGGUCCUGGGGCUCGACUGCUUCACAUGGGUUGUCUUUUGGCCUUGGAGUAUCCUUUAUCAGAGCCUUGGGCCCCUGGACUCCUUCACUCAGUACUUGGUGGGCCACCAUCACACCCUCCUGUGCAGUGGGUAUUGGCUUGCCUGGCUGAGUCAUGUGGGAGAGUCCUUGUAUGGUUCCUGCAGACUUUCCUCUUUGGCAUAGCAUCUCUCCAUGUUGAUUGCUUACAGAUCAAAGUGCCAAACACAAACCUGA
rnacentral:lncRNA from 1 species